rnacentral:rRNA from 1 species
ACUCCUACGGGAGGAGCAGUGGGGAAUAUUGCACAAUGGGCGCAAGCCUGAUGCAGCAACGCCGUGUGAGUGAAGAAGGUUUUCGGAUCGUAAAACUCUGUCCUAAGGGAAGAAACAAAUGACGGUACCUUAGGAGGAAGCCCCGGCUAACUACGUGCCAGCAGCCGCGGUAAUACGUAGGGGGCAAGCGUUAUCCGGAAUCACUGGGCGUAAAGGGUGCGUAGGCGGCUUAGCAAGCCAGGGGUGAAAGGCAUUGGCUCAACCAAUGUAAGCCUUUGGAACUGUUAAGCUUGAGUGCAGGAGAGGUAAGUGGAAUUCCUAGUGUAGAGGUGAAAUUCGUAGAUAUUAGGAGGAACACCAGUGGCGAAGGCGACUUACUGGACUGUAACUGACGCUGAUGCACGAAAGCGUGGGUAGCGAACAGGAUUAGAUACCCUGGUAGCACAGAG